rnacentral:rRNA from 1 species
UGCUUUUGCACAUUGGGUAGGGGAGCGUUCUGUAAGCGGUUGAAGGUGUGUGGUAACGCAUGCUGGACGUAUCAGAAGUGCGAAUGCUGACAUGAGUAACGAUAAAGGGGGUGAAAAACCUCCUCGCCGGAAGACCAAGGGUUCCUGUCCAACGUUAAUCGGGGCAGGGUAAGUCGACCCCUAAGGCGAGGCCGAAAGGCGUAGUCGAUGGGAAACGGGUUAAUAUUCCCGUACUUCUUACAAUUGCGAUGGGGGGACGGAGAAGGCUAGG